GAUGAACGCUGGCGGCGUGCCUAACACAUGCAAGUCGAACGAGAAGCCAACUUCUGAUUCCUUCGGGAUGAUGAAGUUAGCAGAAAGUGGCGAACGGGUGAGUAACGCGUGGGUAAUCUACCCUGUAAGUGGGGGAUAACCCUCCGAAAGGAGGGCUAAUACCGCAUAACAUCUUCUCCUCACAAGAGAAGAAGAUUAAAGAUGGCCUCUAUACUAUGCUAUCGCUUCAGGAUGAGCCUGCGUCCUAUUAGUUAGUUGGUGGGGUAAUGGCCUACCAAGACAACAAUGGGUAGCCGGUCUGAGAGGAUGUACGGCCACACUGGGACUGAGAUACGGCCCAGACUCCUACGGGAGGCAGCAGUGGGGAAUCUUGCGCAAUGGGGGAAACCCUGACGCAGCGACGCCGCGUGGAUGAUGAAGGCCUUUGGG
rnacentral:rRNA from 1 species